rnacentral:rRNA from 1 species
GACGGAGGAUGCAAGUGUUAUCCGGAAUCACUGGGCGUAAAGCGUCUGUAGGUGGUCAAAUAAGUCAACUGUUAAAUCUUGAGGCUCAACCUCGAAAUCGCAGUCGAAACUAUUAGACUAGAGUAUAGUAGGGGUAAAGGGAAUUUCCAGUGGAGCGGUGAAAUGCGUAGAGAUUGGAAAGAACACCGAUGGCGAAGGCACUUUACUGGGCUAUUACUAACACUCAGAGACGAAAGCUAGGGUAGCAAAUGGG